UCAGACGAUGCGUCAUGCAUAUCAAUAAGCGGAGGAAAAGAAACUAACAAGGAUUCCCUUCAGUAACGGCGAGUGAAGCGGGAAGAGCUCAAAUUUGAAAUCUUGAAAGGUCACCUUUCACGAAUUGUAGUUUAAAGAAGUGUUUUCUGUUACGAUCGUAAUAUAAGUUCUUUGGAAUAGGACAUCACAGAGGGUGAGAAUCCCGUCUAUGAUUGCGAUUUGUAGCUUUGUGAUACACUUUCAAAGAGUCGGAUUGUUUGGGAAUGCAGUCCCAAAAUGGGAUGGUAAAUUUCUAUCUAAGGCUAAAUAUUGGCGAGAGACCGAUAGCGAACAAGUACCGUGAGGGAAAGAUGAAAAGAACUUUGAAAGGAGAGUUAAACAGUACGUGAAAUUGUCAAAAGGGAAGCGUUUGACACCAGUGUUGUUUUCUCGAAAAUCAAUUAAAAAUGGCUCGAUUUUGUAUUGUUUGAGACCUUAAAGGCUCACUGUACAUUCUUCGUGUCUUUUUUAAUGCACUUUUCGUUUAACAAGUCAACAUCAGUUUCUUUCGUUGUAAAAGGGUCAUUGGAAGGUGGCUUUCUUUUCGGAGAAAGUGUUUAUAGCCUUUGGCCUCUGCAAUCGGAGAGACUGAGGUCUGCAGCGUAGACUCUUCGGGGUUAGAUACAUUUGUGCUAAGUUAUAGCUUUUUAUAGACAACUUGUUGACUAUAAUUAGUCUUGUAGCUUACUCGCUUAUGCUAUUUUACCUACGCUUAGGAUGUUGACUGAUAUGUAGUCGUA
rnacentral:rRNA from 1 species